rnacentral:tRNA from 1 species
GGUGGUAUAUUCAAGUGGCUCAAGAAGAAGAUCUGCAAAAUCUUUAUACAUAGGUUCAAAUCCUAUUACCACCUCCA